rnacentral:rRNA from 1 species
AUUGAACGCUGGCGGCAGGCCUAACACAUGCAAGUCGAGCGGAUGAAGGGAGCUUGCUCCUGGAUUCAGCGGCGGACGGGUGAGUAAUGCCUAGGAAUCUGCCUGGUAGUGGGGGAUAACGUCCGGAAACGGGCGCUAAUACCGCAUACGUCCUGAGGGAGAAAGUGGGGGAUCUUCGGACCUCACGCUAUCAGAUGAGCCUAGGUCGGAUUAGCUAGUGGGUGGGGUAAAGGCCUACCACGGCGACGAUCCGUAACUGGUCUGAGAGGAUGAUCAGUCACACUGGAACUGAGACACGGUCCAGACUCCUACGGGAGGCAGCAGUGGGGAAUAUUGGACAAUGGGCGAAAGCCUGAUCCAGCCAUGCCGCGUGUGUGAAGAAGGUCUUCGGAUUGUAAAGCACUUUAAGUUGGGAGGAAGGGCAGUAAGUUAAUACCUUGCUGUUUUGACGUUACCAACAGAAUAAGCACCGGCUAACUUCGUG